GGAUAAACCGCAUAUCGGAUGCGACUAUAUAAAUAGAGUUUAACAACCUGGAUUCAUCAGUUGUUUCAAGUUAGUUGAACGUUGUAAUUAGUUCUGGUUCGAAAAAGUGCUCAAGAUGAAGAAGUUUGUGGUAUUGUUGGUUGUCGUUUGUCUGGCCGCUCUAGUGAUUGCCCAGGAAAAGGUUCACAGUGAACAAGACGAAGUACAACCGGAUUCGGACAGUGUACCCCCAUCUAGUGAGGAAAUGCAAAGUGCGGAAACGAAAUGGGCAACCGGCUGGAAGGGCGGAUGGAAGGGUGGCUGGAAAGGUGGAAAGCAUGGAAAAUGGCAUGGAUAAAAAGUAUGCCCAACCUGGUUGACUGUAUUAAAUUUCGUUUUGAAAAAUAUAAAAACAGAAGUUCACUCUUAA